rnacentral:rRNA from 1 species
UACGGGGGGGGCAAGCGUUGUUCGGAAUUACUGGGCGUAAAGGGCUCGUAGGUGGCCAACUAAGUCAGACGUGAAAUCCCUCGGCUUAACCGGGGAACUGCGUCUGAUACUGGAUGGCUUGAGUUUGGGAGAGGGACGCGGAAUUCCAGGUGUAGCGGUGAAAUGCGUAGAUAUCUGGAGGAACACCGGGUGGCGAAGGCGGCGUCCUGGACCAACACUGACACUGAGGAGCGAAAGCCAGGGGAGCAAACGGG